rnacentral:rRNA from 1 species
GACAGAGGUGCCAAGCGUUAGGCGGAAUCACUGGGCUUAAAGCGUGUGUAGGCGGAUUCCUAAGUACCUUGUGAAUUCCCACGGCUCAACCGUGGAACUGCUCGGUAUACUGGGUAUCUUGAGCCACUUAGGGGCGACCGGAACAAAUGGUGGAGCGGUGAAAUGCGCAGAUAUCAUUUGGAACGCCAAUGGUGAAAACAGGUCGCUGGGAGUGUGCUGACGCUGAGACACGAAAGCCAGGGGAGCAAACGGG